UACGGCGGGGGCAAGCGUUGUUCGGAAUUACUGGGCGUAAAGGGCUCGUAGGCGGCCAACUAAGUCGGACGUGAAAUCCCCAGGCUCAACCUGGGAACUGCGUCCGAUACUGGAUGGCUUGAAUCCGGGAGAGGGAUGCAGAAUUCCAGGUGUAGCGGUGAAAUGCGUAGAUAUCUGGAGGAAUACCGGUGGCGAAGGCGGCAUCCUGGACCGGCAUUGACGCUGAGGAGCGAAAGCCAGGGGAGCAAACGGG
rnacentral:rRNA from 1 species